UACAGAGGAUGCAAGCGUUAUCCGGAAUGAUUGGGCGUAAAGCGUCUGUAGGUGGCUUUUUAAGUCCGCUGUGAAAUCUCGAGGCUCAACUUCGAGCUGUCGGUGGAAACUAUCUGGCUAGAGUCCGGAAGAGGAGAAUGGAAUUCCUGGUGUAGCGGUGAAAUGCGCAGAUAUCAGGAAGAACACCCGUGGCGAAGGCGGUUCUCUGGGACGGUACUGACGCUGAGACGCGAAAGCGUGGGGAGCGAACAGG
rnacentral:rRNA from 1 species